rnacentral:rRNA from 1 species
AUUCAUCCAUGUGAAGCCCUUUCGACGAGUCGAGUUGUUUGGGAAUGCAGCUCUAAAUGGGUGGUAGACUUCAUCUAAAGCUAAAUAUCAGCCAGAGACCGAUAGCGCACAAGUAGAGUGAUCGAAAGAUGAAAAGCACUUUGAAAAGAGAGUCAAACAGCACGUGAAAUUGUUGAAAGGGAAGCGCUAGCAACCAGACUUGCUCUGUAUUGUUCAGCUCUCCGAAAGGAUGGUGUAUUCUUUACUUGCAGGCCAGCAUCGGUUUCGACAGUUGGAUAAAAACUCAAGGAAAGUAGCUUCGCUUCGGGGAAGUGUUAUAGCCUAAGUACAAUGCAACUAGUCGGGACCGAGGAACGCGCUUUUAGCGAGGAUGUUGGCAUAAUGGUUGUUAGCGACCCGUCUUGAAACACGGACCAAGGAGUCGACCAAUUAAGCGAGCGUUUGGGUGUAAAACCCUCGACGCGUAAUGAAAGUAAACGUAGGUGGGAAGCUUUACAGCAGCACCAUCGACCGAUCUAAGUUCGCGAGGAUUUGAGUAUGAGUUUCAUUGGUCGGACCCGAAAGAAGGUGAACUAUUCGCGGAUAAGUUGAAGUCAGGUGAAAACCUGAUGGAGGACUGCAGCGGUUCUGACGUGCAAAUCGAUCGUCAAAUCUACGAAUAGGG